GACUUCGCCGCUGCUGUAGUUCCCCGGCUGGAUGCGGUGACUGGUGCCAGUGCUCAGGCGCCCGCUGCCCUUGACCUCCCGCCCCGCGAGCCCUAACUCAGCGCAGGAGGACCGGCUGCCGCCGCCGCCGCCGCCAGGUAGACCAGGCCUGGCUGGGUUAGGCCAGAAGGGUGUCCCUGGCGCAGGUCUCCCGCGGAGGGCAGAACUAGAACCAGGUUCCCGGCCGUUUCCGACCACACGGAUGGGGCGGACCCAUAUCCACACAACUUAAAGAUCUGCUGUCGAGUGAAUGGGGAAGUGGUCCAGAGCAGCAACACCAACCAGAUGGUAUUCAAGACAGAGGACCUGAUAGCCUGGGUGUCCCAGUGAGUGACAGGGGCUAUCCUGCCAGCCCCGCUCCACCUGCCACACAUGUGGAGGCUGACCUGAGCCCUCCACCUUUGGCUGUGGCCACCUCAGCCAGCCCCUGGUCUCACCGGGUCCUUUUGCUUUGCUCCAGGUCUCUGAAGGUCCAGACAGCACUGAUGGCGAGCUUUGGGUCCGCACACUCUGGAAAGAAGAGAGAAGUGAAGGCUCUAGGUAGGGAGAACAGAGAGCCACUGGGCACAGGCUUCUCUCCUCUUGUUUAAAGAAGCCCAGGGAGGGAUAGAGCUCUGACUGGACAGAAGACUGUACUCUGCAGCCUGCCUUCCUAGAGUUGGGUUGUCACUGUCCUGCAGGGGGCAGCAGCCACCAGCAAACACCACUGCCUGCAGGAGCCUGGGCUGACUGGUUGGGACUCACCGAAGAUCCCUUCUUCCUGGGCGGUGGCCUGCAGGAACUGGAACAGCUGCUCUGUGUAGCCCAACUCUGCAGAAGAGAGAAGACCUAGACCUGGCACCCAGCACAGACACAGCCUGCCUCGAGGACUGCAAGGGAACAAGGGCCUCACCAGUAUCGGGCAGCUGGCCCUGGCGGAGGAAGGCGGCAGCCUGUGCAAAGGCCUUGAGCAGCGGGCUGAGCAGGCGGCAGAGGAAAAGAAAGAAAUCUGGGCAGUGUGACUGCUGGCUGAGCUGGAGGGGACAGGCCGGGGUGAGUGCAGCUCCCCACCGCCUCCCUACCACCUCCCUCCAGGGGCAGCUUUUUGAAACACACCCUGAAGUACCGGCCGUCAGCCUCUCCGAAGUCAUCACUGUCACUAUCAGUAAAGUCCCCACUCGGUUUCCA
rnacentral:lncRNA from 1 species